rnacentral:lncRNA from 1 species
GGGGCUAGAAACACUGAUAUUGCAAGUUCAAUAUCAACCAAACAACAUUUUGUUGGAAAAAAAUAUCAGAUUAUUUGAACCAGUUUUCUGCUGUCAGACAUACGUCUAGUACUUAGCAAUUCAUAUACUUUCCAGACACAGAGUACAUGUCCCUAAAUAAUGUAUUUGGAUUGCAGAAAAUAACUUCUUGAAAACCCAGUGCAUGUCAUUAACAUAGAAAAACCUGAGGUGGUUUCUUCCUUUGAGUCUUUUUAAGGUGUCUUGUGCCAUAACCACCUUUGCUCUUUGGCAUCAGUGCUGCAGCACCCACCAGCAGCUCUGUGAGGAGUCCAGCUGGAGACACCUUCACUCAAGUAUUCACAUGAACACAGGUUAUCAGAUGUUCAUAUGAACAUACGGUACUGUGGUGUCAAGUCCAUAUCAAACAAAUGUCAAAAAACGAAGGUUCGAUCCAAGUCAACAAGGCCCUAUCUGAAGAAAUGUGUUUCCAAGAGCUGCUUCUUACACUACUGGAUUUUGGGUAUGGUGUUUUUGCUGUAGCUGCACAUGAACUAACUCAUUAAGGAAGAACAUGAGAAACACUAACUAUAAACACAGUGUUGGGAUGUUAGGCUUUGAGGCAGUAGAAGACUCUCCUUUUUGGAGAUAAGUUCGAAAUACUUCCUCUAUUCACUUUUCUCCUGUUAACAUUAACUGACAAGUGUUACAAGCAAACUGUUUCAGAAUCAGGUGGGGUUUUUUUCUUUUCUCAAGCAAAGGAGGACACACACAGACCAAGUGCAAUAAGAGAACUGUUCCAAAAUAAUGAAAUAGCAGAAGAUUUUUCCCCCAGC